rfam:Tupaia chinensis contig211610, whole genome shotgun sequence.
UAGCCCAUCGGGGCCUUGGAUACCUGCUGUGU